rnacentral:rRNA from 1 species
GCCUAACACAUGCAAGUCGAACGGGGGUAGCACAAGGUUAGUGGCGAACGGGUGCGUAACACGUGAGGAACGUGCCCACCGGUGAGGAAUAGCCGGCCCAACGGCCGGGUAAUACCACAUGCGACACCUUUCGGGCAUCCGAGAGGUGGGAAAGCAGCAAUGCGCCGGUGGAGCGUCUCGCGGCCUAUCAGCUUGUUGGUGGGGUAAUGGCCCACCAAGGCUACGACGGGUAGCUGGUCUGAGAGGAUGAUCAGCCACAUUGGGACUGAGACACGGCCCAGACUCCUACGGGAGGCAGCAGUGGGGAAUAUUGCGCAAUGGCCGAAAGGCUGACGCAGCGACGCCGCGUGCGGGACGAAGGCCUUCGGGUCGUAAACCGCUGUCAGGAGGGACGAACACAAUGACGGUACCUCCAGAGGAAGCACCGGCUAACUCCGUGCCAGCAGCCGCGGUAAUACGGAGGGUGCGAGCGUUGUCCGGAAUCACUGGGCGUAAAGGGCGCGUAGGCGGCCCAGUAAGUAGGGGGUGAAAUCUCACGGCUCAACCGUGAAACGGCCUCCUAAACUGCUGAGCUUGAGCACGGUAGAGGCAGAUGGAAUUCCCGGUGUAGCGGUGGAAUGCGUAGAUAUCGGGAAGAACACCAGUGGCGAAGGCGGUCUGCUGGGCCGUUGCUGACGCUGAGGCGCGACAGCGUGGGGAGCAAACAGGAUUAGAUACCCUGGUAGUCCACGCCGUAAACGAUGGGUACUAGGCGUCGGGGGGAGCGACCCCUUCGGUGCCGUCGCAACGCAGUAAGUACCCCGCCUGGGGAGUACGGCCGCAAGGCUGAAACUCAAAGGAAUUGACGGGGGCCCGCACAAGCGGUGGAGCAUGUGGUUUAAUUCGAUGCAACGCGAAGAACCUUACCUGGGCUUGACAUGCGCGGGAAAGCCGGUGGAAACACGGGCCCCUCUUCGGAGCUCGUACACAGGUGCUGCAUGGCUGUCGUCAGCUCGUGUCGUGAGAUGUUGGGUUAAGUCCCGCAACGAGCGCAACCCUCGCUCCCAGUUUACCAGCGGUUCGGCCGGGGACUCUGGGGGGACUGCCGGUGUCAAACCGGAGGAAGGUGGGGAUGACGUCAAGUCAGCAUGGCCCUUACGUCCAGGGCUACACACGUGCUACAAUGGCCGGUACAGCGCGCUGCGAACUCGCGAGGGUAAGCCAAUCGCUAAAAGCCGGUCUAAGUUCGGAUUGCAGUCUGUAACUCGACUGCAUGAAGUCGGAAUCGCUAGUAAUCGCGGAUCAGCUACGCUGCGGUGAAUACGUUCCCGGGCCUUGUACACACCGCCCGUCACGCCAUGGAAGCUGGGGGGACCCGAAGCCAGUGGGCUAACCGCAAGGAGGCAGCUGUCUAAGGUCAAAUCAGUGACUGGGGCGAAGUCGUAACAAGGUAGCCGUAGGGGAACCUGCGGCUGGAUCACCUCCU